AACGAACGCUGGCGGCAUGCCUAACACAUGCAAGUCGAACGGGAUCUUGACUUCGGUCAGGUGAGAGUGGCGGACGGGUGAGUAACACGUGGGAACCUGCCUUUUUGGUUCGGGAUAACCGCGGGAAACUGCGGCUAAUACCGGAUACUCCCGAGAGGGGAAAGAUUUAUCGCCAGAAGAGGGGCCCGCGUCCGAUUAGGUAGUUGGUGGGGUAAUGGCCUACCAAGCCGACGAUCGGUAGCUGGUCUGAGAGGAUGAUCAGCCACACUGGGACUGAGAUACGGCCCAGACUCCUACGGGAGGCAGCAGUGGGGAAUAUUGGACAAUGGGGGGCAACCCUGAUCCAGCAAUGCCGCGUGAGUGAUGAAGGCCUUAGGGUUGUAAAGCUCUUUUGCCAGGGAAGAUGAUGACUGUACCUGGAGAAUAAGCCCCGGCUAACUUCGUGCCAGCAGCCGCGGUAAU
rnacentral:rRNA from 1 species